rnacentral:rRNA from 1 species
GAACGCUGGCGGCGUGCUUAACACAUGCAAGUCGAACGAAGAUGCCGGAGUGCUUGCACUUUGGCAGACUGAGUGGCGGACGGGUGAGUAACGCGUGGGUAACCUGCCUUAUACAGGGGGAUAACAGUUGGAAACGACUGCUAAUACCGCAUAAGCGCACGGUAUCGCAUGAUACAGUGUGAAAAACUCCGGUGGUAUAAGAUGGACCCGCGUCUGAUUAGCUUGUUGGUGAGGUAACGGCCCACCAAGGCGACGAUCAGUAGCCGGCCUGAGAGGAUGAUCAGCCACAAUGGGACUGAGACACGGCCCAUACUCCUACGGGAGGCAGCAGUAGGGAAUAUUGCACAAUGGGGGAAACCCUGAUGCAGCGACGCCGCGUGAGUGAUGAAGUAUUUCGGUAUGUAAAACUCUAUCAGCAGGGAAGAUAAUGACGGUACCUGACUAAGAAGCACCGGCUAAAUACGUG